rnacentral:tRNA from 1 species
GGGAAGGUGGCUCAGUGGUAGAGUGCUUGUCUUGCAUGCAUGAGGCCCUGGGUUUGA